CCACAAACCAAGUCCACUUCUGUGUAUACCAUUUAACUCCCACGCUUUCAGGGGUCUGCAUUACUUAUCCAUUUAUACGUAUGGACUCAGCCAUGUCACAAGCCUCAUUUCUGGGUUAUUAAUACAAUACAUACAGGGAUAGGUUCAUUUAAGCAAUAAUUCUCGGGUUGAUACGUCUUUGCUAUACAUACAUAUCAUAUAGAUCUACAUCACUUUACAUCAUGCUAAAUAAUUUUGGGGUAUCCCUGCCUUUGGUCUUUCUGCUACAUAUCAUACACAACGAUGUGUUAAUUAGGCCAUGACCUCAUCCAUGUCCCUUUCUAUAAAACCAGUUACAUUUCGG